UGAUGAUGAUGAGUUGCUUAUUGGUCCGUGUUUAUGAUCAAAUGAUUUUAAAUAAUUCAGUAAGCUCUGAGUUA
rnacentral:snoRNA from 1 species